CGGUCCAUCCUAAUGCCUGUUGGUCGGUCUGUGGCCUGCCAGGUUUCGCUUGUGGACCAGAUCACACAGAAGCCCCACCUGGAGGGGUGAGCAGCAAUCAGUGGGCUAACCCCAUGGGCACUUCUUCACAUUC
rnacentral:snoRNA from 1 species